AGACAGGUGGUGCAUGGUUGUCGUCAGCUCGUGUCGUGAGAUGUUGGGUUAAGUCCCGCAACGAGCGCAACCCUUGAUGUUAGUUGCCAGCAGGUGAAGCUGGGCACUCUAACGUGACUGCCGGUGACAAACCGGAGGAAGGUGGGGAUGACGUCAAAUCAUCAUGCCCCUUAUGACCUGGGCUACACACGUACUACAAUGGCCAGUACAACGGGAAGCGAAACCGCGAGGUGGAGCGAAUCCAAUCAAAGCUGGUCUCAGUUCGGAUUGCAGGCUGCAACUCGCCUGCAUGAAGUCGGAAUUGCUAGUAAUCGCGGAUCAGCAUGCCGCGGUGAAUACGUUCCCGGGUCUUGUACACACCGCCCGUCACACCACGAGAGUUUACAACACCCGAAGUCGGUGGGGUAACCCGCAAGGGAGCCAGCCGCCGAAGGUGGGGUAGAUGAUUGGGGUGAAGUCGUAACAAGGUAGCCGUAUCGGAAGGUGCGGCUGGAUCACCUCCUUU
rnacentral:ncRNA from 1 species